AUUGAACGCUGGCGGUAGGCCUAACACAUGCAAGUCGAACGCGAAAGUCCUUCGGGAUGAGUAGAGUGGCGGACGGGUGAGCAACGCGUAGGAAUCUAUCCUGUAGUGGGGGAUAACGUUUCGAAAGGAACGCUAAUACCGCAUACGCCCCAAGGGGGAAAGCGGGGGAUCUUCGGACCUCGUGCUAUAGGAGGAGCCUGCGUCGGAUUAGCUAGUUGGUGAGGUAAAGGCUCACCAAGGCGACGAUCCGUAGCUGGUCUGAGAGGAUGAUCAGCCACACCGGAACUGAGACACGGUCCGGACUCCUACGGGAGGCAGCAGUGGGGAAUAUUGCGCAAUGGGCGAAAGCCUGACGCAGCCAUACCGCGUGUGUGAAGAAGGCCUUCGGGUUGUAAAGCACUUUCAGUGGGGAGGAAAAGCUGGUGGCUAAUAUCCAUCGGCCGUGACGCUACCCACAGAAGAAGCACCGGCUAAUUCCGUGCCAGCCGCCGCGGUAAGAC
rnacentral:rRNA from 1 species